CCCAGACUCCUACGGGAGGCAGCAGUGGGGGAUAUUGCACAAUGGGGGAAACCCUGAUGCAGCGACGCCGCGUGAGGGAAGAAGGUUUUCGGAUUGUAAACCUCUGUCCUCAGUGACGAUAAUGACGGUAGCUGAGGAGGAAGCCACGGCUAACUACGUGCCAGCAGCCGCGGUAAUACGUAGGUGGCAAGCGUUGUCCGGAAUUACUGGGUGUAAAGGGAGCGUAGGCGGGAAUACAAGUUGGAUGUCUAAUCUACCGGCUUAACCGGUAUUCGCAUUCAAAACUGUAUUUCUUGAGUGAAGUAGAGGCAGGCGGAAUUCCUAGUGUAGCGGUGAAAUGCGUAGAUAUUAGGAGGAACACCAGUGGCGAAGGCGGCCUGCUGGGCUUUAACUAACGCUGAGGCUCGAAAGCGUGGGUAGCAAACAGGAUUAGAUACCCGGGUA
rnacentral:rRNA from 1 species